AAAAAAAUAGAUUUAAAAUUUUGACGUUAUUUCAAAAUUUUGAUGUAAAUUUUUAAUAUUUAAUAUUUAAUUUGAAUUUAAAUUAAUAUAUUAUAAAGAUAAUGUUAGUAUAUUAAUUUGAUUACGUUUUUUAUAUCCACCCGAACCAAACACCGACAAUGAAAAUGAUUUAUUUCGAUUCCGAUUCAAGUGAUGAACCAAACAGAAUUAGGUAAUGAGUCAUUCCGAUUCUGAUUCCAGCUUAUUUUGAUUUCGAUUCCGAUUCUGACUCCGACUCCGAUUUCGAACCAAACACGCCCAAAAUAUACAUGCUACUGCAAGUCGACGCCAACAAUUUCCUUCCAUCUAUUCACUUA
rnacentral:lncRNA from 1 species